ACUCAAAUGAAUAGACGGGGGCUCACACAAGCGGUGGAGCAUGUGGCUCAAUUCGAAGCAACGCGAAGAACCUUAUCCUGGACUUGACAUGGUUGAAGUAAGAAGUUGAAAGACCUAUGACCGGUAUCCAAUCCGGAACAAUCACAGGUGCUGCAUGGCUGUCGUCAGCUCGUGCUGUGAAGUGUCGGGUUAAGUCCCAUAACGAGCGAAACCCUUAUUGUUAGUUGCCAGCGGGUCAUGCCGGGCACUCUAACAAGACUGCCGGUGUUAAACCGGAGGAAGGUGGGGAUGACGUCAAGUCCUCAUGGCCUUUAUGUCCAGGGCUGCACACGUGCUACAAUGCCGAUGACAAACCGAAGCGAGACCGUAAGGUGGAGCAAAUCGGAGAAAAAUCGGCCCAGUUCAGAUUGAGGGCUGCAACUCGCCCUCAUGAAGUUGGAAUCGCUAGUAAUCGCGGAUCAGCUAUGCCGCGGUGAAUGUGUUCCUGAGCCUUGCACACACCGCCCGU
rnacentral:rRNA from 1 species